rnacentral:rRNA from 1 species
UACGGAGGGUGCGAGCGUUGUCCGGAAUCAUUGGGCGUAAAGGGCGCGUAGGCGGCCGACCAAGUCGGGUGUGAAAUCCCUCGGCUCAACCGAGGAACUGCACUCGAUACUGGUUGGCUCGAGUCCGGUAGGGGAGUGCGGAAUUCCUGGUGUAGCGGUGAAAUGCGCAGAUAUCAGGAGGAACACCGGUGGCGAAGGCGGCACUCUGGGCCGGAACUGACGCUGAGGAGCGAAAGCGUGGGGAGCGAACAGG